rnacentral:rRNA from 1 species
AUACGGAGGAUGCGAGCGUUAUCCGGAUUUAUUGGGUUUAAAGGGAGCGUAGGUGGGAUAUUAAGUCAGCUGUGAAAGUUUGGGGCUCGACCUUAAAAUUGCAGUUGAUACUGGUUUCCUUGAGUACGGUAUAGGUGGGCGGAAUUCGUGGUGUAGCGGUGAAAUGCUUAGAUAUCACGAAGAACUCCGAUCGCGAAGGCAGCUCACCGGGCCGGAACUGACACUGAUGCUCGAAAGUGCGGGUAUCAAACAGGAUUAGAUACCCUGGUAGUCCGCACAGUAAACGAUGAAUACUCGCUGUUUGCGAUACACUGUAAGCGGCCAAGCGAAAGCGUUAAGUAUUCCACCUGGGGAGUACGCCGGCAACGGUGAAACUCAAAGGAAUUGACGGG